UUAAGAGCCAAUCUGCCAGAAAACCAUGCAAAACCGUCCGAAUGCCACUUUUGCCAAAUGAGUUCAUAUUUGGCACAUUGGUGCACCUUAGUAAUGUAAUUAACCACACAAAAUUUUUUUGGGAUAUUUUGAACCGAUCUUGAUCUUUUUGAGGCGCCAUUUUUUAACAGCUGAAAUUGCUCGAAAACAGCAAAAAUAAGCCUUUUUUUUUUGGUUAAAAUAAAAAAACAUGGCAACAUUUAUAAUUUUUUUAUAGUUGUUCCUAGUAAUACAUCACAUUAAGUGUAGUUAGGGUAGGGUAAUUAGGGUAGCAGGACGAAACUUAAACUUGAUCUGUAACUCGUCAUGAGUAACUCACAUACCAAAAAUCAGCCCAAUAUCUGAAAGCGUUUAGAAAAAAGUGUGUAUAACUGUGAUUUUCAACAAUUUAUCAAGUCCACACCCCGUAAUUUCAACAAAAAUUAGCGGAGCGGAACAAAACUUAAACUUGAUCUGUAACUCAUCAUGGUCAACUUACAUACCAAAAAUCAUGCCAAUAUCUGAAGACGUUUAGAAAAAAACAUUGUAUAAUGGUUUGUUUUGGAAUGAUGGAAUAAUAGAAUUACGGAAUUUUGGACAAGGGUA
rnacentral:lncRNA from 1 species